UUUGCUUCUCAGCCUUUUGGCUAAGAUCAAGUGUAGUAUCUGUUCUUAUCAGUUUAAUGAGUCUUUGGUAGCUCAAAGAAUCUUAGGUGAAACACAC
rnacentral:snRNA from 1 species